GUGUCAGCAGCCGCGGUAAUACGGAGGGUGCAAGCGUUAUCCGGAUUUACUGGGUUUAAAGGGUGCGCAGGCGGAUAUGUAAGUCAGUGGUGAAAUCUCCGGGCUUAACCCGGAAACUGCCGUUGAUACUAUAUAUCUUGAAUGCUGUGGAGGUAAGCAGAAUAUGUCAUGUAGCGGUGAAAUGCUUAGAGAUGACAUAGAAUACCUAUUGCGAAGGCAGCUUACUACGCAGAUAUUGACGCUCAUGCACGAAAGCGUGGGGAUCAAACAGGAUUAGAUACCCUGGUAGUCC
rnacentral:rRNA from 1 species